GCCUCCAGCUCUCUGCCGCGCUGCCGGCCGUGGGUCCGCACCCGCCGCUGCCACACCCGGACUCCUCGCCUCCUCCCCAACGCCUUCGACAUCGCCGACACCCCACCACGUUGCCUCCCCGCUGAUACCCCUCUACUUCACCGGACGCAGGCCUCCACCUCUCCGCCGUGCCGCCGGCCGUGGGUCCGCAACCGCCGCCGCCACACCUGGCCUCCUCGCGUCGGCCUCCCUACGGCGUCUCCCUAACGAUGGACCGCAGGCCUCCCACCUUGCCCACCGUCACUGCAGAACGCGUGUAGGGGCCGCCGCCGCAGGUGCCGUUCCACCCGACCAGGUGAGGACAUCGACGGCGCUCAUCCUCACGACAUCCCAGGAUCACAAGACCACACAAACUUGUAUAGGAGUUCUCCACUUAUUCCAAAGAUAGAGCACCCCAGUCACUUGAAGCCGUGCGUAUCAGCCGCUCAGGAGUAACUGUCCUUCCCUCGAUCCCGUGACCGAUGAUGAAGGUGAUGAUACUAAUGAUAAUCUUACUCUAGCAGACUUCCUGAAGAUGUCAAGCACAAGAAUCUCCAGGAAGACACAAUCUUGCCUGGUGGUGAACUCUUGCCCAGCCACACUAAGAAGCCAAGUGUCACCACUCAGAAGCUGUCGGAGGAAAUCUCCAGCCGGGUGGCGGAAUGCACCCGCCUAAUUCUAGUUAAGAAAGAGUUUGGGGGAGACCUAGGAGCGCUUGAUCGAUGGGCGGAUGAACACAGGAAAGACAUAAGGAUUUUAGAGUGGUUCGGGCUGCCAGAGUGUAAUACCCUACGUCCACUUGGGUGUUGUAUUGAUUGUGGAAGCCUGGAUGCAACUCCAGAUUGAGAUGUGUCC